GCGCGACCGCGACGGUACGCGCGCGCGCCUGCGCGGCUUCAGUGAGCGCCGAGCGGGUUUAACAGCCAGUAACAGCGGGGAGGAAGGUGCACAUCGGAAUCCUGCAGCAUGAAACAAGAACCCCUUCAGAGCGCAGCAGACCACACUGAAAAGGGUGCAUACCCGGUGCGGUGCUCUGCAUCCCGGGUGGUGCCGAAGAUGUGGAGUGUCGGAGGUGGCAGAAGCGCCGCAGCUUGGGAAAGAUCACAGAUUUGGAAGGAAUAUUGUAUCUGUCACAACUGAGGGCCUGAGCUGACGGGAGGCAGCCUCAGUUGUAGGGGCUGAGAUGUACCGGAACCUGGGAGGUUGUAUCAGACCC